GGAUUCCCCUAGUAACGGCGAGUGAAGCGGGAAGAGCUCAAAUUUGUAAUCUGGCACUUUCAGUGUCCGAGUUGUAAUCUCGAGAAGUGUUUUCCGCGCCAGACCGCAUACAAGUCUGUUGGAAUACAGCGUCAUGGUGGGUGAGAACCCCGUAACUGAUGCGGAUGCCUGGUGCUCUGUGAUACACUUUCGAAGAGUCGAGUUGUUUGGGAAUGCAGCUCAAAUUGGGUGGUAAAUUCCAUCUAAAGCUAAAUAUUGGCGAGAGACCGAUAGCGAACAAGUACCGUGAGGGAAAGAUGAAAAGCACUUUGGAAAGAGAGUUAACAGUACGUGAAAUUGUUGGAAGGGAAACGCUUGAAGUCAGACUUGCUAUUUAAAGUUCAGCCGCAAGGUGGUUUCUUUAUAUCGCAGGCCAGCAUCAGUUUUUGGGGGUGGAAAAGGGUAUUGAGAAGGUAGCAGUCUCGGCUGUGUUAUAGCUCUUUACUGGAUUCAUCCUUGGGGACUGAGGAACGCAGCACGCUUUUUGCAAAGCUUUCGAGCUUUUCGUGCUUAGGAUGCUGGUGGAAUGGCUUUAAACGACCCGUCUUGAAACACGGACCAAGGAGUCUAACAUGCUUGCGAGUGUUUGGGUGUUAAACCCGGACGCGCAAUGAAAGUGAAUGUAGGUGGGAUCCGCAAGGUGCACCAUCGACCGAUCUGGAUUUUCUAAGAUGGAUUUGAGUAAGAGCAAUUAUGUUGGGACCCGAAAGAUGGUGAACUAUGCCUGAAUAGGGCGAAGCCAGAGGAAACUCUGGUGGAGGCUCGUAGCGGUUCUGACGUGCAAAUCGAUCGUCAAAUUUGGGUAUAGGGGCGAAAGACUAAUCGAACCAUUUGUUACUAGGUGGUUAAGAGUAUGAUUAAAAGUCAUGCUAGUGAGCGUGAGAGCUUGCAACACUUUUAAAUUGUUCGGGGACAGGCUUAGAGCUUGAACUACCGCUCUAACUUUGAAAAAGGUUAUGAAGCACCGGGGUAAUGACCUAGGGGAUGGUAAUAACGUUCAAGAUUGCCCAAUCCGCAGCGAAGCCUCUAAGUUACAUUUGUAAUACGAGGAACGUUCAUCGACUAGAUAGAAGUGGGCUUACUUGUGAAAAUAAGUAGGCUUAAGGUAUAGUCAGACCGCACCGAGAGGUGAGCCACAUUACAAAGCGCUUUUUCCUCUCACAUUAGGAAAAGUGCCCGAGAUUGUGGGACCCAAUAGCUUUCUAAUUCAAUUAGUAGUUGAUGAAAAGAAGUUAUGAGGUGA
rnacentral:rRNA from 1 species